GCGAGACUCAGCCUGGGGGUGGGGCCUAGGCCUACACUUGGGAAGGGGCAAGCCUGGUCCAGCCCCCAGCCCCACACUUCCCAACGCAGGCCCAGGAGAAAUUGACAGAAUCCAACCAGAAGCUGGGGCUGCUGCGGGAAGCUCUGGAGCGGAGACUUGGGGAGCUGCCCGCCGACCACCCCAAGGGGCGGCUGCUGCGAGAAGAGCUCGCUGCGGCCUCGUCUGCCGCCUUCAGCGCCCGCCUGGCCGGGCCCUUUCCCGCCACGCACUACAGCACCCUGUGCAAGCCCGCGCCGCUCACAGGGACCCUGGAGGUACGCGUGGUGGGCUGCAGAGACCUCCCAGAGACCAUCCCCUGGAACCCUACGCCCCCCGUGGGGGGACCUGGGACCCCAGACAGCCGCCCCCCAUUCCUGAGCCGCCCAGCUCGGGGCCUUUACAGCCGAAGCGGAAGCCUCAGUGGCCGGAGCAGCCUCAAAGCAGAAGCCGAGAACACCAGUGAAGUCAGCACUGUGCUUAAGCUGGAUAACACAGUGGUGGGGCAGAC
rnacentral:sRNA from 1 species